CUUUCUUCAGAAGAUCUCUCAAUAGAGGCAUCGUAAGGCAGGAUCCUGAGCUCUCGCAGCUCUCCUUGUACGGGCACAGGGGUUUUCCACAGAAGUGUUAGCAUUCCACCCGUCUGUCCUGUGAACACUGUACACACACACACACACUCACUCGUAAACCCUACACGACGCUGACUGUCCCACCUGCUGUGUGUUUUGGCCUUUAUAUCUGCUGUCUAACAAGGUAUUAAAGAGUGAAGAUGAGGGGAGUAAAAUAUGAACAGGAUAUAGGACCAUGACAGCCCAGACUCGAAACAACAUCUCCCAUGUGAAUAUAACUCAACAUAUCGAACCAUACACAUCCUCUACAACUCCAAGG